rnacentral:lncRNA from 1 species
CUCUCUCUCUCUAUACACACACACACUAGAUGUUGCUAUUCUUGAUGCCUACAAGUUCCUUUUCCAUCUAUCACUUAUGGGUACAUCUUAACCAGUCAUGGGCAUAUGGUUUCUCUUGAUUUCCAUAGGUGUCUAUUUUAUGUGUGUCUCAAUCAAAUGAUGCUACCUUGCGGCUUCAUUUUGGCUGGCAGGUUCGAGCAGACUUGGUCAACAAC